rnacentral:misc_RNA from 1 species
GAAAUGCGAUAAUUAAUGUGAAUUGCAGAAUUCAGUGAAUCAUCGAGUCUUUGAACGCACAUUGCACCCCCUGGUAUUCCGGGGGGUAUGCCUGUCCGAGCGUCAUUGCUGCCCUCAAGCCCGGCUUGUGUGUUGGGUCCUCGUCCCCCCCCGGGGGACGGGCCCGAAAGGCAGCGGCGGCACCGCGUCCGGUCCUCGAGCGUAUGGGGCUUUGCCACACCGCUCUCGUAGGCCCGGCCGGCGCUGGCCGACGCUGAAAAGCAACCAUUAUUUCUCCAGGUUGACCUCGGAUCAGGUAGGGAUACCCGCUGAACUUAAGC